rnacentral:lncRNA from 1 species
UGUCACAUUAGCUGCUCGUUUGUUCAUAAUUUCGAACCCAUCUAAAGAUAAUUUUCAACGACUUUGAGGUAAUUUUGAGUGAUUAAUGGCUGUGGAUUUUGAAAAUGUGUUUCUUUUGUUGGGUGUCCGACAUACGAAGAAAAAAAGAAAUUGAAGAAAUUUCUAAAUUUAAAACCACGUGAGAAUAACUGGCGAGGCUACGGCAGCUUCUUCUGGAUACUCAUCCGUGCUGUUCGGCACAAUUAAAUGUGGACCGUGGAGGUAUCUUUUGGCUGUCGGUAGGUGGCUAAAAUCAUGUCCCGCAGCCACCAGGUGACGCGAGUGUCUUUGUGAGGACGAAAUUUUCGCCAUUGUUUCCCGAGACGCUGACUGAAAGUGUAUUCCAAAUUCAUUACGGAAUUGCGGUGUCAAUUGACAUUUUCAUUCAUGAAAUUAAAUGGGCUAUCUGGCAUAAAAUUUCCACUUGGCCAAAUGAUCUGACAUACUGCCUGAUUCUGGUCAUUCACGAGGUGAAACUGCUGUCCAUUUUGCCGAAAUGUCGUCCAUUGUUAGCUAUACCUGUACGGCUGUACGUGUCUCAUCUCGUGCAGAAACCCUUCAUAUGCUGUUGAUGUACAGGUUGGAGAUCCCUUUGGUUAACUGUUGCAGAAUUUGCGAACACGACAAAGUCUGAGCUUCGUGGAUGUCUAUCAUUAACAUGAUUUUAUUGCAGCCAGCUGGUGAAAGGUGUGUGAGUUGAGAUGAGCUGCCAUUGCUGCAUCCAGUUUAUCGAGCUGGUGUUAUCCCGAAGUGUCACUGCAGGAAGACUUUAAAUUGGACUUGGUGAUACUUCAACUGUGCUGUUGCUGUUCAAUGUGCAGUGGUUUUGCAGCCUGUUUCCAGUUGAGAGAUGUAAUUUAUGCAGGAUUGAAGAAAAAGAACUGAAGUAGCUGUCACAUCCGGGUUGCUGUCUUGAAAUCAUUUUAUUUUUGUUUUUUGCUCUGCCAUUUAUUUCUUGUGUUGAGUACUUGAAAAUGGUUCAUCUGUCGUCUUUUGCGUUUUCACUUCUGAGUAUACCAUCUGCAGUAUACGACUGUGGCAAACUGAUCAUAUGUCAGUUUUGAUACAGUCGACAACUGCUAGAUUAAAUUCCGGCUUUCUGCACCAACAAAAUAAUAACGGCACAUGUUAUUAUCGCGGUUGGGAAAGUCACAGGCCCCCCCCUCCCUGGGGGCCAAAAAUUAUAUAUGUGGUUGUGUUAAAAUAAAUAAACAAAUUAAAUAAA